ensembl:lncRNA
UUAAGACACUUGUCAUCAAAAUGAACAUAAUCCACGCACAACUUCUUCAACAGUACGACAGAUUUGAUAAAUCAGUGAGGGCAGCUAUUCCCAUCAUUUUCAAAAUAUGGUCAUGUUUGUAGCUAUGCUACCAGAUGGGGUUAUGGUUAUAAGUAAUGUUUCUUGUAUUGAUGGAUUGAGCUUUUUUAUCUGUGUGGUUGUACUGAUGUACUGGUCUGUAUGGUGGUGGUGAGCUUUUGAUGACUGUGAUUGAUGUUUGAUGAAUACAAGUGUCUUAAGCUGUCAUGCCUGACUGGGCCAAAGGACCCAGCCUGCACACCGGGAAGAUGGAUUUGGCAAGCCCUGGAACAAAACGUGAAAAACUGAAGUAUAUAAAUGUGUAUGCCACCCCCUAAGGAGUUUGGUUAAAAAGCUAAACUAAAAAACAUGUUUGAAUAAAUUAAAGCUAAAAAAAAGAACAAGAACAAUAUAAAUCGAAGCUCAAAUGGGAUUUAAGCAGCACAAGUCUCAAUGAGAGGGGGUUGCAGUGCUUUUUUCUGGAAGUUUAGCCAUAUGUCACUGGCUGAGACAGGUGUGGCUGUUAAUGAUGAUUAUAAUGUUGGUCACGUCUGAUCAACACACUGCACUGUGCUGUACGAGGACUCUUUAUUCCCCCUACUGAACGCUAAGACAAUGUUCAGCUCACACGGGUGCCCCGUCCAUGCCUCGUCAGGCACUCAAGCGCACACAGGGGGCGCUGUUCUGUACAGGCACAUAGGGCUCAUCCAAUUACUCACACUUGCACCCUUGCAGCCUCAAGGUGGGUUAGUUAUUGUGAUGUAGAAUGGUGGACAACAAGACAUCUCAUUUUUUCACCCUUCUAACGUUUUGAAAGAUCACACCCCUGUCACGCACCCUUCGGACACUUCACAAAAGUGCCACCUCAAGGAGCGCUCUAAGGGUGCAAGUGUAAGUAAUGAAAGUAGACCAUAGUAACACUUUGAGCACACUCCUGCAUGGCUUACCCCGAGAUGAAUCUUUUCAGAUGCCGUACAUUUGUGUUCAAAUGCUAUAGGAAGAAAAAGAAAAAGAAUAUCUAUUUUUGCCAGAAUUUAAAAAAAAAACAGCAACCCUAGACCCCAUGUGUCAUAUCUUAGCUCUUCGCUUCUAGCACCUCACACAAGCUGCCAAAACUUUGUUUAUUUUCUAUAGUGUAGAGUUUAGGCACCUCCACAACAGGAGUAGAGAUUUGAUGAAUCAGUUAAACACCCAUUUUUUGGGAGUAUUGAGGAGUAGACAGACAAAAGGCACAGUUAGUAAUAUAAAGCUGCCUCUUUAACUCACAGUGUGUACGUUUGUUUGGAUGGCAAACACUCCCCAUGUGCUUGGAAACAAAAAGACGUUCAGGAUGUUUUUGUGUGCAUACUCCCAUUAAGUCCCACGGUUGGAAAAUCCUGUCCACUGUUUUUUUUAUUUUCUUAAAGGGUAGUACUCUCUAUUGCACCUUUAAUGUGUGAAUCAAAUGUAGCUGUUUUCUUUUGGUUAGUUUUGGAGAAUCACACUUAACUACGGAAGGUAUAAGAGGACGUCAAGCGAAGGCUCUGGCUGGAGGUCCAGCUGGAGGAUAUGACAGCCUUACGAUGUUUGAAACCAUGGUAACAGCACUUGUCCACCUUCUUGUGGAACAGAUGCACAGUUGGUUUUAGAUUUUGGUUUUUGUAACCUUGAAAAAUGAUUUGUGAAUUUAAAUGAAUGUAAAACGGCCCUUUGAUAAUCCAUUUUACUGCUCCUUUCGUUUCUAUUGUUUUUUUUUAAAAUGUUUUGUAUAUUUAAUUCCUUUUUAUUUUGAGCGUUUCUUUGCUGUUUUUGUUUUUUUCCCCCAGAAUUUUCAACCUCAGUGUUUGGGUUCGUCACAGGUUUCAAAGCCAGAGGAAUACUUUUAUUUUUAUUUUUAAGUUAUUUUGCUCUUUUUUCUGUCUAUCCUUGAAUGGAUGAGUGAGUGAGGUACUCCAGACACCAACUGGGAAUAAAGGAUGUUUCUCUUCACUGUAUUACCAUUCAUGCAUCACAAGUUUUGUCCAUUUUGGCCAGGAAAUAAAGAUUUCUUUUUUAAAAGAUGUUGUUGCUGUCAAUGAUGGUUGCGGUGGAGGUGGUGGAGAUUGUGUGUUUGUGUGUGUCAAUUAAAUUGCUAGCUUUUAUUUAGCAUAUUCCACUUUUUAAUUUCCACACUUUUAGACAUCCCUUUUACAACAACAUGGUUGACUAUCCAGAUGGUGAACAAAG